rnacentral:lncRNA from 1 species
GUUCCGCCAUGAAGAAUACGUAGACCGAUACUAUCGAUGCCUUUCUGGUGUGGCUUACGAGUUCCAGUGUCCCUUUGGAAUAGCCUUCGAUCCCAUCCAAGGACGCUGUCGAUAUGCUUCGGAGGGCGAAAUCAGAUCCUGGCAAGCAAGACAACUGAUGCCAUGCGAAAAAUGUGUGGGUGGAGUGAAGUUCGUCGAACUUGGCGCUUUCUUGCCUCAAUAUUUGCAGUGUGUGUCCGAAGGAAUUGCAGAGCUAAAGACUUGUCCUGUGGGACAGAGCAGAACGAGAUCCGUCCAGCUUUUGUGGAUGUCGGACCACUGCGAAGGUUUCCUAACAACUCGCAGUCAGCGUAUCGAGGAUUACCCAUCAGCUCAUCAUCAUUCUAAAGAUGAAGGUUUGAAGUGCUCAGGUGGAAAACAUCAUCACUCGUUUGGAAAUACUCAUGUGCACGGAGUUUGUCCAUGUGAGAUCUGCAGUAAUCCUGUUACCGUGAAACCUGGUUGUUCUACGACUCCUCCUUGCACUACAUCUACGACAACAAGUAUUCCUCCCAAAACAACCACAACCACUGAAACUGUUACUCCUUCCAAAACCACGCCGAUCAAAGAUUCCACUUCAACGGAUACCACUACUAUUGCACCGACAGAAACUACUAAGAAACCGACAGAUAUUAUUAUAAGUCCAGAUGAUUCUGGUGAAUAUUAUGACGACCAUAUU